AGAGUUUGAUCCUGGCUUAGGAUGAACGCUGGCGGUGUGCCUAAUACAUGCAAGUCGAUCGGGCGUAGCAAUACGUCAGAGGCGUACGGGUGAGUAACACGUAGGUAACCUACCUUAAGACUGGGAUACCCAGACGAAAGUUUGGCUAAUACCGGAUAACAACAUUUGAGACAUCUCUUUUGUUUGAAAGGCGCUGCAAGGCGCCACUUUUAGAUGGACCUGCGUCGCAUUAGCUAGUUGGUGAGAUAAAAGCCCACCAAGGCUGGGAUGCGUAGCCGAUCUGAGAGGAUGACCGGCCACAAUGGGACUGAGACACGGCCCAUACUCCUACGGGAGGCAGCAGUAGGGAGUUUUCGGCAAUGGGGGAAACCCUGACCGAGCAACACCGCGUGAGUGAAUGAAGGUCUUCGGAUCGUAAAGCUCUGUUACGAGGGACGAAUGAUCGCUUUAGGAAAUGAGAGCGGUUUGACGGUACCUCGCCAGAAAGCGACGGCUAACUACGUGCCAGCCGCCGC
rnacentral:rRNA from 1 species